CAAAACAAAAACCUUUCACUUAAUAAUAAUAAUAAUGGCUACAAAAGCAUACCCAACAAACUCUUCUCCAUCCAUUUCCAGCAUCGCACAUCAACAAUCAGAAUAGCAAACAGACAUAUCGGCCUUAUAAAUCCUUCUUCUCCCUAGCUAAGUCUCAACCUCACAUUCUUACUUUGCCUCUUUCUACAACGUAACUGUGUUUUCCCUCCAAUGGUGGCCAAGA
rnacentral:lncRNA from 1 species